rnacentral:rRNA from 1 species
AAAUUGAAGAGUUUGAUCAUGGCUCAGAUUGAACGCUGGCGGCAGGCCUAACACAUGCAAGUCGAACGGUAACAGGAAGCAGCUUGCUGCUUUGCUGACGAGUGGCGGACGGGUGAGUAAUGUCUGGGAAACUGCCUGAUGGAGGGGGAUAACUACUGGAAACGGUGGCUAAUACCGCAUAACGUCGCAAGACCAAAGAGGGGGACCUUCGGGCCUCUUGCCAUCAGAUGUGCCCAGAUGGGAUUAGCUAGUUGGUGAGGUAACGGCUCACCAAGGCGACGAUCCCUAGCUGGUCUGAGAGGAU